UUCGGCAUUAUUUCAUGGAGGUACUUCAAGUUGAUCAUGUUUUACAUUGUGAAGUAGCCUAAAUAUUAAGUGGCUGUUUGACUGUGCAGUUGUUUUAUCCACACAUAGCCUAAAUGUCUGCAUCCAUAUCAUGUUCUGUUAAAUAAUUAAGCCUAUUUAAACUAACACAGACUUCUGCUCAGCCAACAGAAAAAAGCAGAUGCCUGUAAAACGGGUGGUAUAAAAGAUGCAUUCAUAUAUAUAUAUAUGAUUAUUUAGUUCUCUUUUGUGUCUUUUUUAUCUUUUGGCCCCUUCACACCACAGACCUUGUAACUGUAAGUAGGCAACACUCCAAAGAUUUAUCCAAAUGGUAGUUUAAGUGUACUGAAACAUGUCACUGAUCUAGGAUGAAGAGGAUGAAACUGUGUCUGCUGCCUUUACAGAGGGGGAUCCAGAAAGGCAUACAGAGAGCAUGGCUGGACAGCAGCAGGAUGGUUCCUUAACUUCCACUGCACAGACUGAUACAGUGAGAUGAAUGUUCAGUAAACACCAGAGGUUCAUUCUGUGAAAUUCAUGUGCAACUGUAUAAUUUAAUGUACUCUGUGUAUACCCAGUUAUCAGUAAAACAGAUUUACAAACUGCAUUUGCUGAGAAAAAUCCAAAAACAGAUUAGGAGGACAGAUCUGGAAAUUGAAAUACUGGAGCACAAGUUAGAGGUGGGUGAUGGUCACAGAUGAAUUAUGUUAACUAUUGAAACAUUAACUGAACUAUCUCUUUUAUUUGUAGGAAAUAAAGAAGACCAAAUGAAAUGUGUAUCAUGUCUUUAUUUGCUGUGGUGGUGAUGAUGGUGACUUAAACUCUAAAGUGAUUCUUGCAUACGGUGUCUCUGACUGCUCUGCUGUCCUGGAUAGCUGCAGGUGGAUGGGCUCAUCAUCUGGGUCUUCAGUUUGUAGGGCAGGGUGUUGCUCUCCUCUAAUAGUGGUAAUACUAUGAAGAACAACACAU